AUGGCCGUCAACGGCCAGAUGGCCGUCUUCGACGCCUCCACGCUCGACGCCCUCCAGCUGGUCCAGAUCCCGCCGGCCACGCCUAAGCUCGCCAACAAGAUGUACGGCUGCUGCUGUCGGAUGGAAGAGUUCAAUUAUGCCCACCUUGUUGCGUUGCCGAGCAAGCUGGUUCUGGUCAGGACCACCGUCAAGUCUUCCCGGCCGGUGGCCUUCACCAUCUUCGAGUUAAUCUCUGCGCCUGACGGGCGGCUCGCCUGGCGCAUGGUGGCCGAUGCUGGCAACUACGAGUUGUUCGUGGAUGGAUACCACACCACCUUCAUGGAAAACGACGGCGCCAACGGGGGCGGAACUUGGAUCUAUGUUCAUGAGACGCAAUAUCUUGCUUACACGACGGCCUACCGCUACAGCGUGCAGCAUAAAAAGUUGGAAUGCGUCUACAAGUCACCCAAGGGUGCCAGUCCCGAGUUCUCAACCAAGUCCACUUGGUUUGUUCCCUAG
rnacentral:rRNA from 1 species